AGCGAACGCUGGCGGCAGGCCUAACACAUGCAAGUCGAACGAACUCUUCGGAGUUAGUGGCGGACGGGUGAGUAACAUGUGGGAACGUGCCUUUAGGUUCGGAAUAACUCAGGGAAACUUGUGCUUAUAACGAAUGUGCCCUUCGGGGGACAGAUUUAUCGCCUUUAGAGCGUCCCGCGUCUGAUUAGCUAGUUGGUGAGGUAAAGGCUCACCGAGGCGACGAUCAGUAGCUGGUCUGAGAGGAUUAUCAGCCACAUUGGGACUGAGACACGGCCCAAACUCCUACGGGAGGCAGCAGUGGGGAAUCUUGCGCAAUGGGCGAAAGCCUGACGCAGCCAUGCCGCGUGAAUGAUGAAGGUCUUAGGAUUGUAAAAUUCUUUCACCGGGGACGAUAAUGACGGUACCCGGAGAAGAAGCCCCGGCUAACUUCGUGCCAGCCGCCGCAGUAAAAC
rnacentral:rRNA from 1 species